GCUGGGGCUCAGUGGUAGAGUGCUUGCCUAGAACACGUGAGGCACUGGGAUCGAUUCUCAGCCCUGUA
rnacentral:tRNA from 1 species